rnacentral:lncRNA from 1 species
UUUUUUAUCAGUUCCAGCUUUCUCCUUUAUUUAUAUUGGUGGAAGUGUAGAAAUUCCUAAUUUGACUUAUACAAAUGACCUCAAUGAUCCAAAGUCACAGAAAUUCCUCCUGCAAGCAGAAGCAAUCCAAAACUAUUUUGCAGAAACAUAUGGGUCUUCCUCCUUGAGAAAGUACUACCUGAAGUCUGUAGUGGCUGCUUUCAGUGAAGGAGAGUCUGGACUCCGAGCUUACUACUGGAAUACAUUCUGGGCACCACAAGAUAUGGUUGCUUCUCUUAAAAAAUUAACUCCAGCGGAACAGAAAGAAAUCAGUAGUAAACAAGCAGCUCACAUGUUCAGUUCUUCUGCGGAGGAAGAUUUUGAUCUUGUUACAAUGGAGCUUUUUGGUAACAAUGUACCUGUCAUUUAAUACCUAUUCUGUCUAUUUUUCUUUCUCCAGCCUGUGUCUUUGGCUUGUGUGGCUGAUAGUUAUUAACUUUCAGUUUCAGAUUCCACAGAAUAUGAUAUGAUGCUAAAAUCAGGUAAUUAUGCUUCAAUCUGAACUGAUAUUACUUGGGGGAAAAAAAUCCUAUCAAAGAAAAAUAGCAGUUUCCCAGUUAUUCUUAUAUCUGUAGGGCCUAUGAACCAAACGAGACGAGGGAUCUCCCUGGCCUGGUGUUCCAAAUAAAGGCUGGGGUGAAAAUACCUUAGUUUUUAUUCUGGUGUCCUGACUAGAAUGGUUGAAAUUUAAUAGUUCCCAUUGAAUCGCAAUGAGCUGUGGCUCCUUUACUUUGACAUCUUUUGAAAAGCUACUGUACAAAAUUAUACAUAAUUUAUUUGCCUUGUGACUAGAUAAUUUUGGUUAUUCAUAGUUAAUGAUUAGUCAAAUACUGUAGAGCUGUAAUUCACUUUGCCUGGUUUCUCCAUAUCAAGCACACCUUGAGAAUGACUUCAUAUAAUUAGUGUACUUAUUACAUGGAGAGGGGUGAAGAGAAAAUGGCAAAGGAAGCAAUAGGUUUCAAGCAGAGAUUGGUAGCAGUUGCAGCCAAGUUGCACAUUCCUGCUCGCUGAGUGUUCGAUGCGCCGAUGGCGGUGAGGCGUUGUACUUCCUUGGCCAGAGCAGGAGAAGGUGAUGCAGCCUAGUAGGGAAAAGGGGAUAGAGUUGUUAAGGUAAGGGAAAAAAGAGAUUAGAGUAGUCAAGAAGUGCAAGUAGGCAAUUGUUGCCACCUCUUCUGAAAUUUUACCCAAUAAUUUAUCUUCCAAUUUAAUGGUUUUUCAGUCACUGAUCUAGCUUCUUUUGUAUAGCAGUAUCCUUUGACCUGUAUGCCAAGCCAGGUA